CUUAGCUAAAAAUCACUGUAAUGGCAAGGCAACGAGUGUAAACAAAGUGGUCGGGUAAACACCGUGGCUACUAACAUGCGGACGUUACAAACCCAAAACGUUUUAACAGCCAGGUAGCUAGUUAGCUAUCUCUUAUCGGGGUUGUUUUAAUAGGGUAUCCCGCAGAAAUGGACACAGGAGGAUUCCAGGCACAAAGUAUUCGACUGAGGGACCUCCCGCCUCUUCCACAGCGUGGACAGCGUUCCCUGCCCCCCAUGUCAAGUCAAGAUACAGGUGACGAGAUGCCGGUCCCUAAAAGCAAGAGGAAGAAGUCGAAGAGUCAGGUGGAUGGUGUUGAAAGCCCAGAGGCAGACUCAGGGAUGGAGAUUGCCCAGGUGGGGGGUCUGAGCAGUCGCAGGUCAUCUGAGGUCAUCCAGGCCUUGACCCCCGAUUUGCCGGAAGCUGCACCACAGAGAAGGAAGAAGAAGAAAAAGGCAGCGACCGUAGACAUGGAGGAUGACCAGGCUGACCUGGUGAACGGGGAUGGACUGGUCCAGAACACAGCAGAGGCAGGGGAAGAAGUGACCAAAAAACCCAAGAGGAAGAAGAAGUCGAAAGUGUCAGAGACACAGUACGUCAACGAGCUUCAUGUAGAGGACGAUGACAUCAUCACAGACGCUCAGCCACCCGUCCCCCGGCAUUCCCUGUUCUCUGCUCCCCUGGGACAGAGCCAGCCUGUGGGGAAGGUGUUUGUCGAGAGGAGCAAGAGGUUUGAAGCGGGCGAUCGGUCAGACAGACCGAAGUCCAGCGAUCAGGUGGACAACUUCGUGGACAUCCAGCAGAUGUGGACCACCAAGGAUGUGUCUGUUAGGGUACAUGGUGGCUUCAGGGGGGUUGGGCUGUUCUGCCACGGCUUCCUAGCAGGCUAUGCAGUGUGGAACAUCAUAGUGAUCUAUGCCCUGGCAGGAAAACAUCUCACUACUCUGCCUAACCUACUGCAGCAGUACCACAGCCUGGCCUACCCUGCACAGUCUCUCUUCUACCUGCUACUGGCUAUAAGCACCGUGUCAGCCUUUGACAGGGUGAAUCUGGCCAAAGGCGCCAUGGCUAUGAGAGAGUUUGUCACCCUGGACCCAGUUGCUCUAGCCUCUUUUUUGUACUUCUCAUCUCUGGUCCUCUCUCUCAGCCAGCAGAUGACCAGUGACCGCAUCAACCUGUACCCCAGUGCUAACGAGACCUUAUGCCAAACAAACAAAGCAUUGGGACUUUUACAACCCCUCUCCUCCCCAGGCCUCCUGGGUCAGAGCACCAGAUCCUGAACCCGUGGAUCAUAGUGAACCUGGUGGUGGCUGUGCUGGUAGGAAUGGCCUGGAUCUUCAUCUCCACUAGGCCUGAGAUGGACUACACCGAAGGAUUCCUAAUGGCUAUGGAGAUCGAGUCCUUGAGACCAGAGGAGAAAUCAGAAAUGUCUACUUGAGGAAUAGUAUUUCCAUUUUUUUCUUGCACAUCUUUUUUUGCGCUGUAUUUUAUCAGCCAACACAAAAUGUACACCUUGUUUGUGGUAAUAAGCAGUUUAUUUGUGUAUGACCCAAAUGUGUGCUUGUUUUGUCAAAUGUAUUGAUUACCAUUGGAAAUAAUAAAAAUGUUAUCCCACUGA